GACCUGGGGUCCCUGCUUCUCCAGGUGCUCCCGGAUUUUGCUCUCUAGCCUCCGGUUCUCGGUCUCCAGGCUCCUCACUCUGUCCAGAUGUGGGCCACCAGCCUUAAGCCAGAGGGAGCUUUGUAAGACAGGAACAUAUAAAAUGAUAAAAGCUUCUCUACGUACAGUUUUCCUGACUCUGAUUCUGCGUGGGACAACCAGUGAAAAUUGCAGGUGAAGAGAAGAAAUGCGUAUUUAUUCCUCCACUGGGAAAAAAAAUACCAUCCAAAGCUACAUGACUUGAGAGACAAGGUCUCACUAUGUUGCCCAGGCUGGCCUCGAACUCCCGGGCUUCAGCAGUCCUCCCGCCUCACCCUCCGAUGUAGCUAGGACUACAGGACCGCGACCCGGCGCUGCCUAAGAACUGUUUUUAAACGUGAAAGCCACGGCUAUCAUUUGCUUUUUGCUCUGCUCUUCAUCUUCUGGAUAAACCUCGUAACACACUGCUUGUUUUGGGUGGUAGUCUGCUGCCUACGCCCCGUCAGACAAGUGGCCUGAGUCCCCCGCAACCCCUGCAGGUCCGGCCGCCGGCGCCAAGCCUCAAGGCAUCCAAGCCAGGAACGAUCGCGGUCAGCUCUGCCACGGAACAUGUGCAAGACCCGGCAGCAGGUUCCGGGGGAGGCGAAUUGAUUUCACAACGGUCGAGAAGGAGGACCCCGCCCACUUCGUCAUUUCUCGGAAGCCCAGGGACUCGCCGGAAGAGCGGCUCAAAAGCCGGAAAACUGGCAAAUCCGAGUCUCCCGGCGCAUGCGCGGCGCAAUCGGCUUCGCGUGGUUGCAGUAGAGAGGAUCCCUCCGCCAGCCACUGCAUCCGGCGGCCGGAUCUAACUUACCCGCUAGCGUUUUACCCUUGCGCGGCCGUGGCGUAGGGCGGUCUUUUCCCUUGGUCCUCCGCGGCGCCGCCUCUUGUGACGUAAGCCGCAGAAUCCUCUGUCUUAGUUCGGCUCUAUUGCCGCGAGCUUGACUCUUCCUGGGUCUGAGGAAAAGUAAAAGUAAUUUUGUCAUUUCCUGAAACUUCAAGUUAAACCUUUAAGCUGUUCAUUUCCUAAAAGGGUGAAAACGCGGGCACCCCUCGAGCUAGUUCAUCGCCUUUUAACCUGUUGUUGGAUCUUUCCAGAUCACCACACCACAUCACCCAGCCACUCUGCCCAAUGGGAGGGCAGACAGUGUUCCAGUGUAGGAGGAAGGGGUGUAAGGUGCGGGCAGUUUGUGAGGAGGGCACCAACGAGAGCUACUGUGAGAAAGUCUGCAUGGUCAAAAAGUGGAUUACCAAGAACAAAGCAUCAUAAUGUUGUCCAGUGGACCCCAGGGUCAUCUGGAUGAAAUGAAUACUUUUAGGGCAAAAUGGCUGAUACUGCUUCCUUGAUAACCACAUAUAGAAAACUGACAACUGUUUAGAACAAAGCCAAAGAUGAAACCAAAUAUAAAACCACUGAUGAAAACUAAGUGAAAAAUAUAAGCAAAAUAGAAGAAAAAUAAGGUCGUUAUUUCAAGAAAACGAAAGACAGUCAAUGCUGUUCUUUGUAUUCACAUACAAUUUGGUUCACACCAAAAUGUGAGUUGUUCUCUAUGAGAUGUUAUUAAAUGUUCCUAAGAAGACUCGCUUUAGAAAAAAACAGUAUUCCUAAGGCAUGUCCAAUCUGUCUCUUUUCUUAAUUGCUAUAGUUCUACUUUAUUAUUAUAAUGUAUUCAGCAUUAAAAUUCAUUAUUUCCCAAUAAGCUUGACUUUAUCUUAUAAUGAAAUACAACUGUCUUCUUGGUGAUUUUUAUAGGAGAUAUUAUGGAAAUAUUUUAUUAACAGAAGUAAAUAAAGUGUCAUAUCAUUUGGCUUUUCAGCCGUGUUAUAACAUUUGCAUUUUGUUUUUUCUGCCUUUACCCUCCCUGCUUCUAGCUGCAUAAAAUAAUGCAUUUUAAAAAUAAAAAUACAUUAUUUUUCAACAUAUGUGUGACAAUAAAAAGAUCACUGGGUCAGGGGUCAGACGAUCUGAGUUCUGCCCUUUCAUUUUCUUAUCUGUAAAAAUGAUUCCUAAGAUUCCUUCUAUUACUAACAUUUUAUAAUCUACAUUCAAAUUUUAUGUGAAAGUUUAGUGCAUCCGAGAUAACUAUUUUCAAAUAAGAAUCUCUUUUGAUGCUAACAUCUAUGCAUCAAAUUCUUCAUUCUCAAGUUGUAAGUUGCUCUUUACAUAAUUUCACCUAUGUACAUAUAUUCUAUAGAAAAAAGAGACAUUCCAGUAUCUUAACAAUGUCAAAAAGGAUAUACUGACACUAACAUUAACUGGAGAUUGGAAGACUAGACAAAUCAAGGCUAGAACUACAUAAGGGAAGCUAUUCUCCCAAAUACGCUGUUUUUGCUGUUGUUUAACCAAAGAUAUCUUCCCUUUCAUUCUUCUUUUUUAAAGCUAAGGAUAUUUAAGACAUUAAUAUGUUUGGCUAACUGAUUAAUA
rnacentral:lncRNA from 1 species